GGCAACCCGCUCGGGUCCCCUUCCACACUGUGGAAGCUUUGUUCUUUUGCUCUUUGCAAUAAAUCUUGCUGCUGCUCACUCUUUGGGUCCACACUGCUUUUAUGAGCUGUAACACUCACCACAAAAGUCUGCAGCUUCAGUCCUGAAGCCAGCGAGACCACGAGCCCACCAGGAAGAACAAACAAACUCCAGACACGCCACCUUAAGAGCUGUGACACUCACCACGAGGGUCCGCGGCUUCAUUCUUGAAGUCAGUUGAGACCGAGAACCCACCAAUUCCGGACACACUGGGAUUACAGGGCCUUGGAAGAAAUUUUGUACCUGUUUGCCUCUGCUGGAUGACGCACUCUGAACACAGCUACCUAAAAGUGGAAGGAAGGAGGCCGGGCAGGGUGGCUCACGCCCAUAAUCCCAGCACCUUGGGAGACUGAGUCAGGUGGAUCACUUGAGCUCAGGAGUUUGAGACCAGCCUAGGCAACAUGGCGAAAUCCUGUCUCUACAAAAAAAAUUUAAAACUUAGGCAUGGUGGCACGUGCCUGUAGUCCCAGCUACUCAGGAGUCUGAGGUGGGAGGAUUGCUUGAGCCUAGGAGGUGGAGGCUGCAGUGAGCCGAAAUCACAUCACUGCCCUCCAGCCUGAGCAACAGAGCAAGACCCAAUCUCAAAAAAAAAAAAAAAAAAAAAAAGGCUAAAAGGAAGGACUGUUUUGAGCUGAGGCAACCCCAAGGACUGGUGACAUUCCCUGGGUCUCCCCUGCCAGCCUCGUGUCAUACCCCAAGAGAGGCUGGGACACAUCUGUGAAACAGGAUGCUGAACAGCGGAACACAGCGGACUUGAGCCAGCCUAAGUGGGUUUCUGCUCCUUGCAACAAGAGGCCUGAAUAGAAGCCCCUUCUUCAGGGGAGUGGGCAUCAGCUCAGAAAGAGGAUCCCAUGGGAACUGACUUUGCUGGUGACCAAGGCCCUACCACCAGGGCACCCUGCCCAUGUAUCCCAAGCAGAGGGAGCAGAACCAGCGGUGUAACUACUGUGCUUGACACCCAGGGCAGGUCUUUUUUUAACUCACCGAUCUUCCAUGCAACAAAAUUGUUUUCUGUGAAAAGCAGGAAAUGAAUAACAACAGCGUAGGUACUCCACUUCAAAUUUCCCAAGAAAUUCAGAAGAAUUGUGAACAAGUUGCUGGUUUCACAAUACUGCAAGACACUGCAAGUUAUUCCAAGUUCCUACAGGACAACGAUGCACAAUUAUUUACUUACUUAUGUUUAAAUAUACCUAUCAGUUUGACUUUCAUCCUUUGGUGACAUUCUAAUAAUUUAUGUAAAUAAUUAUUCAGAGACCAAUGAGAGGAUUUUAAUAAGUGCAAAAUGUUAGCAGACGGUACAACAUUGAUAAAUCUAUGGUCUGUAUUUUGUUCUGCCAUUUCAAAAUAAUUAAAAAGUAAGUUUCAAUUUAAAAACAUUAUUGAAAUUCAGUAAAAUAUUUCAAGCAUGAACUAAAAUAUACACUUACUAAACACAAAUAUUACACCUCACAUUUCAUACUCUGUUUCAUUGUUUUAAAUUUUAAACAGAAAUAACUCCACCGGCCACCUAGAAUGAUCAAAUCAGGCAACUCAAGUUACUUUGUUUCAUCUUCACAAUCACUGUGCUAUCAUUGUUCAUUUUGAAUCUACUUUUUAAAAGCAAGAAUAUUU
rnacentral:lncRNA from 1 species